UCACUCAGUAAAAAGAUAGUAAAUAAGGACAUUAAGUACUAUGAGAGGAGCUGCUGUCAUCCAACCCAAAGGAUAGAUAGAUGGUGAACUAGAGAGAGACAAAGGUUUCCUUCAGGCCCUUGGAGUUAAGAGUAAAUGGCUGAGAAGACAGUGAGAAUAAGGAAUCUAUCUUCCAGCUCACUGGGCAAAGCCAAAUUUCUUCUGGGAGGAGAGAAAGACCCUCCAGUCAUGAGAAGGCCUUCAUAAGUGCCUCUGGAAUGCUUUUGUGUAACUUCAUGAAGGAAAUCUCUUUAGCGAAUCUCCAUAGCCGUGUUUCACCCUGUGAACAGCUAAGAGAGCAGCAGAUACUCAGCCAGAGUGGAGGAAGGGGAGUAGAAGAAAAAGAGGAGGAAUACGCCCAGAGGAUAAGGGAUACAAGUUUGGUUUUUUCCCUUUCCUUCUUUGUUGUAGUCAAACCUCAUGCUGACCUGGACUAGUAGAGUAUCCCUCUUUCUGAACUUCUUGGCUCAAGAACAUGAAUAGAGAGAAAAAAAUGCACCAUAAUACAAUCAUGCUCAUGAAUGUCAAUCAGCUCAUCCUCAAAAACUUUGUGAAGGGGGGG
rnacentral:lncRNA from 1 species